CUCUUCUGAGAAGGACGCAAGAAGGAACAUCCAGGCCAGAUCAUGGGAGGGACCCGGAUGCCUAAACUCACAGAGGACGCAGCCCCACCUGCCUCGUAAUUAAAGAAUUGCAACAUCCACUGUAAUUUUCCAUCACCCCCAUAAAGUGGAGAGAAGAAUCAUAUCUCCAGCACUUACCACCUGAAGGCUUGAGUGACCCAGAAGCAAGGACAGCCAUGUAGAAACGUGAUUGAACGAAAAGGGUGUCAGUGAAUGGUGACAGAACAAGGAACACAGGGAGGCUGGUCCAGGUUCCUCUUGGCUCUGUGCAGAGUUCCUUUGGGGAGGGCCUGGGCCCUCCAAGCUUGGAGUCUAAUGAUCAGACAGAGGAUGUCAGAGCAUUUCUUUAUGGCCCACUCUUACACUGAAAGGAGCUUCGAAGAUGGCUGA
rnacentral:lncRNA from 1 species